UCGCGGGUGACCGCGAAUCUGAAGGAUGCCCGAGGCAAAAUGCUGGCCUGACGUAUAGGAAGCGGAUAGAGGCGUCGUAGUGGGGUGAGGUCGCAAUGACAGCCAAAGCCCAAUACUUGCACGGAGCACUACGGCGUAAAUCCGACAGGCAUAAGCAGGAAGGUCGCGCGA
rnacentral:ncRNA from 1 species